rnacentral:rRNA from 1 species
UACGUAGGGUGCAAGCGUUAAUCGGAAUUACUGGACGUAAAGCGUGCGCAGGCGGUUUUGUAAGUCAGAUGUGAAAUCCCCGGGCUUAACCUGGGAACUGCGUUUGAAACUACAAGGCUAGAGUGUGGCAGAGGGGGGUGGAAUUCCACGUGUAGCAGUGAAAUGCGUAGAGAUGUGGAGGAACACCGAUGGCGAAGGCAGCCCCUGGGUUAACACUGACGCUCAGGCACGAAAGCGUGGGGAGCAAACAGG